GUUGGCUUAGAAGCAGCCACCCUUGAUAGAGUGCGUAAUAGCUCACUGGUCGAGGGUUUCGGCGCCGAUAAUGAUCGGGAAUAAGCAAUGUACCGAAGCUGCGGGCUGCGUAAGCAGCGGUAGGAGAGCGUUCCUGUCAGCAGAGAAGGCGUCCCGAAAGGGUCGCUGGAGCGUCAGGAAGUGAAUAUGCCGGGUUGAGUAACGAUAAAGCAGGUGAAAAUCCUGCUCGCCGAAAAUCUAAGGUUUCCUGGGGAAGGUAAAUCCGCCCAGGGUCAGCCGGGACCUAAGGUGAGGCCGAAAGGCGUAGCCGAUGGACGGCAGGUUAACAUUCCUGCGCUACUGUGGAGAUCAAUCAUGAGUGCGGAUCGGUCAGCCCUGCGUAAGCACCAGCUUGCUGAGGCCCUUGAGGCCGCUGCAGGGGGCUCCGGUCCCGAGAAAAGCUCAUGUGGCAAAGCAGUACCCGUACCAAAACCGACACAGGUAGAUGAGGUGAAUAACCUAAGGCGCUCGAGAUAACGGAAGUGAAGGAACUAGGCAAAUUGACCCCGUAAGUUCGCGAUAAGGGGGCCCUACCCCUCGGGGAGGGCGCAGAGAAAAGGCUCUGGCGACUGUUUAUCAAAAACACAGCACUGUGCUAACUCGUAAGAGGACGUAUACAGUGUGACGCCUGCCCAAUGCCGGAAUGUCACGGAAGCGGGUUAGCUUCGGCGAAGCUCGUAACCUAAGCACCGGUCAAUGGCGGCCGUAACUAUGACGGUCCUAAGGUAGCGAAGUUCCUUGUCGGGUAAGUUCCGACCCGCACGAAAGGCGUAAUGAUUUGGAUACUGUCUCGGAGAGGGGCUCGGUGAAAUAGACUUGUCUGUGAAGAUGCGGACUACCUGCACCAGGACAGAAAGACCCUAUGAAGCUUUACUGUAACUUGAAAUUGAAAUUGGACUUUAUUCGCGCAGUAUAGGUGGGAGGCGUUGAAAGUAUUCUUGCGGGAAUACCGGAGCUAUCAGUGAGAUACCACUCUUCUAAUGUUAGAUUUCUAACUUUGAACCAUUAUCUGGUCAAAGAACAGUUUCAGGCGGGCAGUUUGACUGGGGCGGUCGCCUCCCAAAUGGUAACGGAGGCGUACAAAGGUUUCCUCUGAACGGGUAGAAAUCGUAUCUAGAGUGUAAAGGCAUAAGGAAGCUUGACUGUGAGACCUACAAGUCGAGCAGGGACGAAAGUCGGUCUUAGUGAUCUGACGGUACUGAGUGGAAAGGCCGUCACUCAACGGAUAAAAGUUACUCUAAGGAUAACAGGCUGAUCUCUCCCAAGAGUCCAUAUCGACGG
rnacentral:rRNA from 1 species